CAAAAAGACAAAAAAAAAAAAAAAAAAAAAGUCAGUGUGGCUGCAGCAGAGGGAGAGGCAGUCGGCCUGAGAAACUUGUUUGGAGAGGUGGUCAGGAGUCAGAUUACUGAAGCCACAGCUGGAAUUUGGGGUUUUCUCCUAAAAGCAGUAGGACACUAUCCCAGGUUUGUACGCAGGAAAGUGAUGGUGUGCGUGGAUGUAGGUAACGCAAAGAUCAUUCUGGCUUCUGUGCGACGUGUCAGUGGAGCUGGGGACAGAGGGAGAGCAGAAAUUCGGGGAAGCCAGGUACAGGCUGCUACCCUAGGGGGUGGGGCAUUUUGGAGUUGGCAGUGACAGGAUUGAGAAGGGGAACCGGCCAGAAACACUUCGGAGGAAAAGUCGAGUGGAGGCGGCGGUCUCUGGGACCAAAAAGCACAGGGUGGCCUGGGCAAAGAGACAGACAGAGGGACAUUGAGAUCACAUGACUUGAGGGAGAGAACUCAGGGAGCAAAGAAACGGUCAAGGAGGUACUCAGAAGCUCUCUACCCGAGCCUCCCCCGCUUUCCUGAAAUCUCCGGCAGGGAAAGGGGAGGUAAAAGAAUUUGAUUGGGUCCCAGCCUAUCCAAUUGUCCAGCCUUCCCAGGAAGCACUUAAAGAAGUGACUGUUCUGAUGGAAAAGCCAAUAAAAGAGGAUAAAGUUGAAAAACCACCCCGAAGAGUACCACCUUUUUUGAGAAGGCAACUAGAAAAAGAUAGAUUUCUGGAUUAGGAAAAUGAAGCCAAGUGAAAUUAAGUGACUUGCCCAACAUUUUAAAGGGGCAGAGCCAACAGAAUCCAGCCUCCUGGGUCCCAUCCAGAGCUGUGUGCAGUACAGACUGCCAGAGCACCGCUAAGAUUCCUUUCCAGCAGUGUCCGUCUUCAUAAAAAAUGAAGACUUAUUUCAUAAGCAUAACUCAACUCUCAGAAAUGCCCCCUUACCAACAUCAUUCCAAGGAGUCAUAGACUAUGAAUUCAAAGUCAGAACUGUCUUCAUCACGGACGAGUUCUUCAGCUUCUAGCGGAUUUACUCCCAUAUGUGUCAGCUACAGAAACGAAGGGAGACAAAAACCCGUUAAGCCACAAGCCGUCAUUUACCACAUCCAAGCAUCUCUAUCGCUAAACAAGAGGCCAGAGGCUAAGUCCGUUUUCCGUAUCCUAACAUGUUGGCUAAAUUUCUUCUGAUAAAUUCCGAUUUUUCAAAGCUACCUUCCUUUUUUUUUUUUUUGCCUUUUUAGGGCUGCAUCUGUGGCAUAUGGAGGUUCCCAGGCUAGGGGUCCAAUCGGAGCUACAGCUGCCGGCCUACGCCACAGCCACAGCAACGCCAGAUCCAAACUGCGCCUGUGACUUACACCACGGCUCACGGCAACGCCGGAUCCUUAACCCGCUGAGCAAGGCCAGGGAUCGAACCUGCAACCUCAUGGUUCCUAGUCGGAUUUGUUUCCGCUGUGCCACGAUGGGAACUCCAAAAGCUGCCUUCUUUUUGGCAGAAAAUAUGUCUCACUUCAUUACCACUUCUAGUACGUACUUAGAGCUUCUGGUGAGAGAGUGAGAUGGUCCAGAUCAGUGGUUCUCAACUAGGGUGAUUUGACCCCCGGGGGUCUUUGGACAUUUUGGUUACCACAGCCAAGUCUGGAGACAUCUUUAUUAGUCUAAUAUUAGUCUAAUAAUUCUCUUAUCUCAGGCUCUCUUACAGCAAGUGUAUGGUAUUAAAUUUGCUCUUAUGAAACACUUAUUACAUUAUAAAAUGCCUAGUUAUCACAACUGGAGGGGGGGCAUGGAGGGAGGCAGUGUGACUGCCAUCGAGUGGGUAGAAGCCAGCGUGCUGCUCAACAUCCUACAAUGUACAGGACAGCCCCCCCCGCGACCAAGACACACUCAGGCCAAGAUGUCCUGAGGGCUGCCGAGGCUGAAAAACCCUGUCUAGCCCCUGUGAGGGGUGCAACAUAAGAACUAAGCUCCCGCGGGGAGUUUCUGAUCACAAGCAGUCCAUUUUGAAAGUAUUAGUAAAGCUGAAACUAUGCAAUCACACCCAGAUCAGCAGUUCCAAGACAGAACAGGGACAUCUGGCUGGCGUCCCACGUGCAUUUUCAGCCACCCUCCUGGAGACUGCUAUUCAGCUUGUGCCCCAGCAUUUCCAGAGAGCUGUGGCCUCGCGUCUGGGAGGGAAUUGUUCACCUUAAAACUGCCUUCCUGGGAAGAGCUGGCGGAAGUCUAAUAAUUCUCUUAUCUCAGGCUCUCUUACAGCAAGUGUAUGCUAUUAAAUUUGCUUUUUUGAAA